GGAUGAGGUCCUACUUGGUCGGGGUGGGUCCUAACCCAGGGACAGGUGUGCCAAGAAGGGACAGGUCAGAGACAUAGCAGGGAACAUGGCCAUAUGGGAACAGAUGCAGGGGUGGGUGGUGCUGGGACAAGCUGGGGGGGGGCACCAGAGGCUGCAGGGGGCCCUGGAGCCAGCCUGCCCAAACCUUGAUUUUGGACAGUGGCCUCCACAUGGGGGAGAGAAUAUGGGAGAGAAUACAGUUUUUUUAAAUUUUUUUAAAUUUUUAUUUAUUUAUGAUAGUCACACACACAGAGAGAGAGAGAGAGAGAGAGAGAGGCAGAGACGUAGGCAGAGGGAGAAGCAGGCUCCAUGCACUGGGAGCCCGACGUGGGAUUCGAUCCCGGGUCUCCAGGAUCGCGCCCUGGGCCAAAGGCAGGCGCUAAACCGCUGCGCCACCCAGGGAUCCCGAGAAUACAGUUUUAAGCUACCAUAUGUGUCAGGUACUUUGCUAAGGCAGCGACCCGGGCCCACUGCUUGGUGUCGACAUCACCCCACAAUGUGGGUCCCUGGGGUCCCUGCGGGGUGGGUCCUGAGCGGGGAGCAGGGCGUGGGGGGAGGGGCCAGGGUACCUGGAGAGGUCUCAGGCCUACCCAUGGCAGCAGGGCUGUCCAUCCCUCCUGGGGCCUGUCCCCACCUCCCAGGCCCUGUCCUUCCCUCCCAGGGCCCAUCCUUCCCUCGUGGGGCCCAUUCCCCACUCCCAGGACCUAUUCCUCCCUCCUGGGCCUGUCCUCCCCAUACCAGGAUGGGUCCUUUCCUCCUGAGGUCUGCCCCCCAUCUCAGGGCAUGUCCCCCCCUCCCGGGGCCUGUCCCUCAUAGCCACACAGCCUGCAGGCAUCUGCAGCUUCAACCUGCUGCCCCAUGGGACCCCAGAGUCUUCCAGGGCCUCUUUACAGGCUGAGGGGGUGGGGAGGGAGCAUGUGGGCUGAGCCCCCCUCCCGCCCCCACAAAGGCCCCGGUGACCCUACCUGGCCCUCCC
rnacentral:lncRNA from 1 species